ACUCCUACGGGAGGCAGCAGUUGGGAAUCUUGGACAAUGGGGGAAACCCUGAUCCAGCCAUGCCGCGUGAGUGAUGAAGGCCUUCGGGUUGUAAAACUCUUUCGACGGGGACGAUAAUGACGGUACCCGUAGAAGAAGCUCCGGCUAACUUCGUGCCAGCAGCCGCGGUAAUA
rnacentral:rRNA from 1 species